rnacentral:rRNA from 1 species
CGCGGUAAUACAGAGGGUGCAAGCGUUAAUCGGAAUUACUGGGCGUAAAGCGCGCGUAGGUGGUUUGUUAAGUUGAAUGUGAAAGCCCCGGGCUCAACCUGGGAACUGCAUCCAAAACUGGCAAGCUAGAGUACGGUAGAGGGUGGUGGAAUUUCCUGUGUAGCGGUGAAAUGCGUAGAUAUAGGAAGGAACACCAGUGGCGAAGGCGACCACCUGGACUGAUACUGACACUGAGGUGCGAAAGCGUGGGGAGCAAACAGGAUUA